UUACGGCCAAAUCAACUUGAAACACCACUUCUUGUACGAUCACCGAAGUUAAGCAACGUCGAGCCAGGUCAGUAGUACCUAGAUGGGUGAUCACUUUGAAAUACUAAGUGAUGUAAG